rnacentral:rRNA from 1 species
AGUGAACGCUGGCGGUAGGCCUAACACAUGCAAGUCGAACGGCAGCACAGUAAGAGCUUGCUCUUGCGUGUGGCGAGUGGCGGACGGGUGAGGAAUACAUCGGAAUCUACUUUUUCGUGGGGGAUAACGUAGGGAAACUUACGCUAAUACCUCAUACGUCCUACGGGUGAAUGCAUGGGAUCUUCUGACCUUUCGCGACUGAAUUAGCCGAUCUCGCAUUAGCUAGUUGGCGGGGUAGAGGCGCACCAAGGCGACGAUCCGUAGCUGCUCUGAGAGGCUCGACACACAGACUGGCAGUGAGGCACGGUACAGACUCUUACGCUGGGCCGCAGUUGGGAAUCUUGGAGGAUGGGCGAGAGCCUGAUCCAGCAACACCGCGUGGGUCAAGAAGGUCUUAGGGUUGUAAAGUCGUUUUGUUGGGAAAGAAAAGAAGCUGUUUCAUCCAGGACUGUUCUGACGGUACCCAAAGAAUAAGCACCGGCUAACUUCGUG